AUUUACUGAAAGAGUUACUUUGUAUGAAAAUGGAAAAAAUUGUAAUAUUAGACUAACCUGGACGCCCACAAGAAAUAGUGUCGUUUACUCAAAUCAUUUCAAUACCUUCUGACUUUCAAGUGUGGAACUGGCAACAUUAAUAAUGGAAAAAUGUACCGGUAUAAACAUUUCUUUCUUAAUGAAAAAAGAAAACCCA